rnacentral:rRNA from 1 species
UACGUAGGUGGCGAGCGUUAUCCGGAAUCAUUGGGCGUAAAGAGGGAGCAGGCGGCCUGGAGGGUCUAUUGUUAAAAGGCAAUGGCUUAACCAUUGUAAGGCGAAGAAACCGGCAGGCUAGAGUUCUAAAGAGGAUCGUGGAAUUCCAUGUGUAGCGGUGAAAUGCGUAGAUAUAUGGAGGAACACCAGUGGCGAAGGCGACGAUCUGGGAAGAAACAGACGCUGAGUCCCGAAAGCGUGGGGAGCAAAUA